rnacentral:rRNA from 1 species
UACGUAGGGUGCGAGCGUUAAUCGGAAUUACUGGGCGUAAAGCGUGCGCAGGCGGUGAUGUAAGACAGGUGUGAAAUCCCCGGGCUUAACCUGGGAACUGCAUUUGUGACUGCAUCGCUGGAGUGCGGCAGAGGGGGAUGGAAUUCCGCGUGUAGCAGUGAAAUGCGUAGAUAUCUGGAGGAACACCGGUGGCGAAGGCGGCAUCCUGGACCGAGAUUGACGCUGAGGCGCGAAAGCCAGGGGAGCAAACGGG